rnacentral:rRNA from 1 species
AGCGAACGCUGGCGGCGUGCUUAACACAUGCAAGUCAAACGGCCCUCGUGUAGCAAUACGCGGGGGCAGUGGCGAACGGGUGAGUAACACGUGGGUAAUCUCCCCUCGAGUGAGGAAUAAGCUUGCGAAAGCGGGUCUAAUACCGCAUAACACCCCGGGACAUAAGUCUUCGGGGUCAAAGCCGAAAGGCGCUUGGGGAUGAGCCUGCGUCCUAUUAGCUAGUUGGUAGGGUAAUGGCCUACCAAGGCGAUGAUGGGUAGCCGGCCUGAGAGGGUGAACGGCCACACUGGGACUGAGACACGGCCCAGACUCCUACGGGUGGCUG